rnacentral:rRNA from 1 species
GAUGAACGCUGGCGGCGUGCCUAAUACAUGCAAGUCGAGCGAACAGACGAGGAGCUUGCUCCUCUGACGUUAGCGGCGGGCGGGUGUGUAACACGUGGAUAACCUACCUAUAAGAUUGGGAUAACUUCGGGAAACCGGAGCUAAUACCGGAUAAUAUAUUGAACCGCAUGGUUCAAUAGUGAAAGACGGUUUUGCUGUCACUUAUAGAUGGAUCCGCGCCGCAUUAGCUAGUUGGUAAGGUAACGGCUUACCAAGGCAACGAUGCGUAGCCGACCUGAGAGGGUGAUCGGCCACACGGGAACUGAGACACGGUCCAGACUCCUACGGGAGGCAGCAGUAGGGAAUCUUCCGCAAUGGGCGAAAGCUUGACGGAGCAACGCCGCGUGAGUGAUGAAGGUCUUCGGAUCGUAAAACUCUGUUAUUAGGGAAGAACAAAUGUGUAAGUAACUAUGCACGUCUUGACGGUACCUAAUCAGAAAGCCCCGGCUAACUACGUG